CUUUGAUACGUGUAACAGUUUAGUACAUCCUCGCUGAUCUACUCCACGUGCUAGAAUGAAGAAAGCAACUAAUAAAAACGAACCAGCAGGCAACCUGGAAAGUGCUUCAGAUCCGAAAAAGAAUACUAAGCUGAAGUCUAAGAAAGGAGAUAAGAAAAAUGCACGCAAGGAAGAAGUAAAGAAAACCGAUUCCAAGCCUGAUGGAAAGAAACCUGAUGCAUAGUUAUUUGAGUUUUGUUAAACAAUAAAUGGAUGCACGAAAUGGUGUGCUCAACUAAUAA